UACAGAGGUCUCAAGCGUUGUUCGGAUUCAUUGGGCGUAAAGGGUGCGUAGGUGGCGGGAUAAGUCAGGUGUGAAAUCUCGGAGCUCAACUCCGAAACUGCACUUGAUACUGCCUUGCUCGAGUACUGGAGAGGAGAUUGGAAUUUACGGUGUAGCAGUGAAAUGCGUAGAUAUCGUAAGGAAGACCAGUGGCGAAGGCGAAUCUCUGGACAGUUACUGACACUGAGGCACGAAGGCCAGGGGAGCAAACAGG
rnacentral:rRNA from 1 species